GACGAACGCUGGCGGCGUGCUUAACACAUGCAAGUCGAACGAUGAAGCCGGAGCUUGCUCCGGUGGAUUAGUGGCGAACGGGUGAGUAACACGUGAGCAAUCUGCCCUUGACUCUGGGAUAACUGCGGGAAACUGUAGCUAAUACCGGAUACGACACCUUGGGGCAUCCCAGGGUGUGGAAAGAAUUUCGGUCAAGGAUGAGCUCGCGGCCUAUCAGCUAGUUGGUGAGGUAAUGGCUCACCAAGGCGACGACGGGUAGCCGGCCUGAGAGGGUGACCGGCCACACUGGAACUGAGACACGGGCCAGACUCCUACGAGAGGCAGCAGUGGGGGAUAUUGCACGAUGGGCGGAAGCCUGAUGCAGCAACGCCGCGUGAGGGAUGAAGGCCUUCGGGUUGUAAACCUCUUUUAGCAGGGAAGAAGCGAAAGUGACGGUACCUGCAGAAAAAGCACCGGCUAACUACGUGCCAGCCGCCGCGGUAA
rnacentral:rRNA from 1 species